UUGUUCUUCGUUCGGUCCAAA
ensembl:piRNA 21ur-1838 ncRNA